CCCUUAGAUGUUCUGGGCCGCACGCGCGCUACACUGAUGCAUUCAACGAGCCUAUCCUUGACCGACAGGUCCGGGUAAUCUUUGAAUCUGCAUCGUGACGGGGAAAGAUUAUUGCAAUUAUUAAUCUUCAACGAGGAAUGCCUAGUAGGCGCAAGUCAUCAGCUUGCGUCGAUUACGUCCCUGCCCUUUGUACACACCGCCCGUCGCUCCUACCGAUUGGGUGUGCUGGUGAAAUGUUCGGAUCGGCCGUUUGUCGCGGUUUCCGCGUCAUGUGGCUGAGAAGUUCAUUAAACCCUCCCACCUAGAGGAAGGAGAAGUCGUAACA
rnacentral:rRNA from 1 species